GGGAAAGUAAUCUCUGCUUCAGGGCAAAAGCAAAGGCUUUACAACUUUGUUCCUGAAUAGAAAGUAAUCUUUGUCAACUGGGAUCUAACAUAUAAAAUACAUGUCUAUUACUUGACUGGAUGACAACACAAUGGAUCCUUCCUUGAAAACUUAUACCCUAAAGCUAACUCUGCACAAUCAAUCAGAAAAGGAGGAACUUUUUGUUUGUUUCUUUGUGGGUUGUCUGUUUAUCUUAAGGAAAUUGAUUAACUCUUUGAGUCACCAUGGGAUGGUGAAUCGGGUUUGAAAUUCAGCUUCCAGGAGCCAUCCCCAAAAUCACACCGCAGAACUGAAC
rnacentral:lncRNA from 10 species